rnacentral:rRNA from 1 species
GUGAGUAAAGUGGCGCACGGGUGAGUAACGCGUAGGUAAUUUACCCAUAUGACUGGGAUAACAUUCCGAAAGGGGUGCUAAUACUGGAUAAGACCACGGUUAUACGUAACAGUGGUAAAAGGUAGCCUCUAUAAAAAAGCUAUUGCAUAUGGAUAAGCCUGCGUACCAUUAGCUAGUUGGUGGGGUAAAGGCCUACCAAGGCGACGAUGGUUAGCUGGUCUGAGAGGAUGAUCAGCCACACUGGAACUGGAACACGGACCAGACUCCUACGGGAGGCAGCAGUGAGGAAUAUUGCGCAAUGGGGGAAACCCUGACGCAGCGACGCCGCGUGGGUGAGGAAGGUUUUCGGAUCGUAAAGCCCUGU